rnacentral:tRNA from 1 species
CGGGCAUUAGCGCAGAUGGCUAGCGCGUCAGGCUGGGGGUCUGAAGGUCACUGGUUCGAGUCCAGUAUGCCCGACCA